CCUACGGGAGGCAGCAGUGGGGAAUAUUGCACAAUGGGGGAAACCCUGAUGCAGCGAAGCCGCGUGAGUGAAGAAGUAAUUCGGUAUGUAAAGCCCUAUCUGCAGGGAAGCAAAUGACGGUACCUGAGUACGAAGCCCCGGCGAACUACGUGCCAGCAGCCGCGGUAAUACGUCGGGGGCCAGCGUUAUCCGGAUUUACUGGGGGUAAAGGGAGCGUAGACGGGAGGGCAAGUCUGGAGUGAAAGGCGGGGGUCCAACCCCCGGACUGCUGUGGAAACCGUAGGGCUGGAGUUCAGGAGAGGUAAGCGGAAGUCCUAGUGUAGCGGUGAAAUGCGUAGAUAUUAGGAGGAACACCAGUGGCGAAGGCGGCUUACUGGACGGUAACUGACGGUGAGGCGCGAAAGCGUGGGGAGCAAACAGGAUUAGAUACCCGUGUAGUC
rnacentral:rRNA from 1 species